rnacentral:rRNA from 1 species
AUUGAACGCUGGCGGCAGGCCUAACACAUGCAAGUCGAGCGAGCGGCGGACGGGCGAGUAAUGUAUGGGGACUGCCCGAUAGAGGGGGAUAACUACUGGAAACGGUGGCUAAUACCGCAUACUAUCGGAUAACCCAUAUGGGAGGAGCUAGUAGGUGGGGUAAAGGCUAACCAAGGAGACGACCUCUAGCUGGUCUGAGGGGUUGAUCAGCCCCACUGGGACUGAGCCACGGCCCAGACUCCUACGGAGGCAGCAGUGGGGAAUCUUGCACAAUGGGCGCAAGCCUGAUGCAGCCAUGCCGCGUGUAUGAAGAAGGCCUUAGGGUUGUAAAGUACUGUCAGCGGGGAGGCGUUACCCGCAGAGGAAGCACCGGCUAACUCCGUGCCAGCAGCCGCGGUAAUUC